AGUGAACGCUGGCGGCGUGCCUAAUACAUGCAAGUCGAACGAUGAAGCUCUAGCUUGCUAGAGUGGAUUAGUGGCGCACGGGUGAGUAAUGCAUAGGUUAUGUGCCCUUUAGUCUAGGAUAGCCAUUGGAAACGAUGAUUAAUACUGGAUACUCCCUACGGGGGAAAGUUUUUCGCUAAAGGAUCAGCCUAUGUCCUAUCAGCUUGUUGGUGAGGUAAUGGCUCACCAAGGCUAUGACGGGUAUCUGGCCUGAGAGGGUGAACGGACACACUGGAACUGAGACACGGUCCAGACUCCUACGGGAGGCAGCAGUAGGGAAUAUUGCUCAAUGGGGGAAACCCUGAAGCAGCAACGCCGCGUGGAGGAUGAAGGUUUUCGGAUUGUAAACUCCUUUUCUAAGAGAAGAUUAUGACGGUAUCUUAGGAAUAAGCACCGGCUAACUCCGUGCCAGCCGCCGCGGUAA
rnacentral:rRNA from 1 species